UACGGGGGGGGCAAGCGUUGUUCGGAUUUACUGGGCGUAAAGGGCUCGUAGGCGGCCAACUAAGUCGGAUGUGAAAUCCCCAGGCUUAACCUGGGAACUGCAUCCGAUACUGGAUGGCUUGAAUUCGGGAGAGGGAUGCAGAAUUCCAGGUGUAGCGGUGAAAUGCGUAGAUAUCUGGAGGAAUACCGGUGGCGAAGGCGGCAUCCUGGACCAUUACUGACGCUGAGGCGCGAAAGCUAGGGGAGCAAACGGG
rnacentral:rRNA from 1 species